rnacentral:rRNA from 1 species
AUACGUAGGGGCGAGCGUUGUCCGGAAUUAUUGGGCGUAAAGGGCGCGUAGGCGGAUUUUUAAGUCCGGUGUGAAAGAUCAGGGCUCAACCCUGAGAGUGCAUCGGAAACUGGGGAUCUUGAGGACAGGAGAGGAAAGUGGAAUUCCACGUGUAGCGGUGAAAUGCGUAGAUAUGUGGAGGAACACCGGUGGCGAAGGCGACUUUCUGGACUGUAACUGACGCUGAGGCGCGAAAGCGUGGGGAGC